GUCGAACGGCAGCACGGGAGCAAUCCUGGUGGCGAGUGGCGAACGGGUGAGUAAUAUAUCGGAACGUGCCCAAUCGUGGGGGAUAACGCAGCGAAAGCUGUGCUAAUACCGCAUACGAUCUAAGGAUGAAGGCGGGGGGUCGCAAGACCUCGCGCGAGUGGAGCGGCCGAUAUCAGAUUAGCUAGUUGGUGAGGUAAAGGCUCACCAAGGCGACGAUCUGUAGCUGGUCUGAGAGGACGACCAGCCACACUGGAACUGAGACACGGUCCAGACUCCUACGGGAGGCAGCAGUGGGGAAUUUUGGACAGUGGGCGCAAGCCUGAUCCAGCAAUGCCGCGUGCAGGAUGAAGGCCUUCGGGUUGUAAACUGCUUUUGUACGGAGCGAAAAGGUUCUCUCUAAUAAAGAGGGCUCAUGACGGUACCGUAAGAAUAAGCACCGGCUAACUACGUGCCAGCAGCCGCGGUAAUACGUAGGGUGCGAGCGUUAAUCGGAAUUACUGGGCGUAAAGCGUGCGCAGGCGGUGAUGUAAGACAGAUGUGAAAUCCCCGGGCUCAACCUGGGACCUGCAUUUGUGACUGCAUUGCUAGAGUACGGUAGAGGGGGAUGGAAUUCCGCGUGUAGCAGUGAAAUGCGUAGAUAUGCGGAGGAACACCGAUGGCGAAGGCAAUCCCCUGGACCUGUACUGACGCUCAUGCACGAAAGCGUGGGGAGCAAACAGGAUUAGAUACCCUGGUAG
rnacentral:rRNA from 1 species